rnacentral:rRNA from 1 species
UACGGAAGGCAGCAGUGGGGAAUAUUGCACAAUGGGCGAAAGCCUGAUGCAGCUAUGCCGCGUGUAUGAAGAAGGCCUUAGGGUUGUAAAGUACUUUCAUCGGGGAGGAAAAACAAAACUAAUAAUUUUAUUUCUUGACGUUACCCGAAAAAGAAGCACCGGCUAACUCCGUGCCAGCAGCCGCGGUAAUACGGAGGGUGCUAGCGUUAAUCAGAAUUACUGGGCGUAAAGAGCACGUAGGUGGUUUUUUUAAGUCAGAUGUGAAAUCCCUGGGCUUAACCUAGGAACUGCAUUUUGAAACUGAAAUACUAGAGUAUCGUAGAGGGAGGUAGAAUUCUAGGUGUAGCGGUGAAAUGCGUAGAUAUCUGGAGGAAUACCUGUGGCGAAAGCGGCCUCCUAAACGAAUACUGACACUGAGGUGCGAAAGCGUGGGGAGCAAACAGGGAUUAGAUAC